UUUGCCUUUGAAUAGCUACAACUUUAUAGUUGACGAUUUUUGCAGGGAAAAAUAUAUAGCUCAUGAAAACCUUUGCAACAGGGAGGCUACUCAACCUUCUGCGCGCAGUAUGUUCAAUAGCACUGAAUUCCUUGUAGAAACCUUUGUCUUCCUUGGAGGCGACGUUGUCAGAUUCCGCCAUGGCCACUCCCAACCUUCUCCCCGGUAGUGCUGCUUCAGAUUGCGGCAGAAUGGCCCGUGUCGGCCGCGGCUGUCGCUCCGGCCCGAACUGAUCAUGGGAUGGAGAUGGAGAGGACGCGUUUCGGACGCCCGGCCGAGAUGUUUACCGUUCCGUCCGCUGCAGUAAGCGUUGAGCCGGCGAACUGGCCGUUAGUCCCGUCGCGUAGAUGACA
rnacentral:rRNA from 1 species